rnacentral:rRNA from 1 species
UCCAGUUUAUCCUGCUGGAGGCUGCCGCUAUUUGGUUUGUACUAAGGCAUGCAAGUCUUUCGAGAGAAGGCGAACUGCUCAGUAACACGUAGUUAACCUACCCUAAGGUCAGGAAUAACCUCGAGAAAUUGAGGAUAAACCCCGAUAGGUGACAAUUCCUGGAACGGACGUCAUUAAAACUCGUGCCCUAGGAUGGGACUGCGGCUGAUUAGGUUGUUGGCGGUGUAAUGGACCACCAAGCCUGUGAUCAGUAGGGGCUUUGAGAGAAGGUGCCCCGAGAAGGACUCUGAGACACUAGUCCUAGCUCUACGGAGUGCAGCAGCCAAGGAAAUUUUGCAAUGCUCGCAAGAGUGACAAAGCGAACCAAAGUGUCUUUCUUUUAGAAAAACUUUUCUUUUGUGUAAAAAGCAAGAGGAAUAAGGACCGGGUAAGACCGGUGCCAGCCGCCGCGGUAAUCCCGGCGGUCCAAGUGGGAGCCACAUUUAUUGGGUCUAAAACAUUCGUAGCCUGUUAAGAAAUUUUUCUGUGAAAGCAUCCUGCUUAACAGAAUGAAUUGCAGAAAAUAAUACUUAACUCGAGACUGGGAGACGCGAGAAGUAUGAUCAAAGUAAUGGUAAAAUAUGUUGAUCUUGAUCAGACUCACGAUUGGCGAAGGCAUCUCGCGAGAACAGAUCUGACGGUGAGGAAUGAAAGCUAGGGGCGCAAAACGGAUUAGAUACCCGUGUAGUCCUAGCCGUAAACACUGCAUACUAAGUAUUGCUUUCUCUUCGGGAGGAAGCAGUAUUGUAGGGAAGCCGAAGAGUAUGCUACCUGGGAAGUACAAUCGCAAGGUCGAAACUUAAAGGAAUUGGCGGGGGGGCACUACAAGGAGUGACACGUGCGGUUCAAUUAGAUUAUACACCGUGAACCUCACCAGGAGCGACAGCAGGAUGAAGGUCAGUCUAAAGGGCUUACCUGACACGCUGAGAGGAGCUGCAUGGCCGUCGUCAGCCUGUGUCGUGAGAUGACCGGUUAAAUCCGGUAACAGGCGAGACCUGUAUCUGUAGUUGCUACGAAAGAGGACACUACAGAGACUGCCUUGGUAACAAGGAGGAAGGUGCAGGCCACGACAGGUCAGUACGGCCCGAAUCCCCUGGGCUACACGCGCGUGGCAAUGUCACAUGCAAUGGGCUGCAACUCCGAGAGGAGGAGCUAAUCUCAAAUAUGUGACCUAGUAUGGAUUGAGCUUUGUAACCCAAGCUCAUGAAAAUGGAAUUCCUAGUAAUCGUUCUUUAUCAAAGAACGGUGAAUAAGCCCCUGUCCCUUGCACACACUGCCCGUCAAACCAACCGAGUUAUGGGUGGGUGAAGUCUUUCGAGGAUGAACCCAUCCAUGACAAGGUAGGUU